rnacentral:rRNA from 1 species
GCGAGGAACCUUACCUGGGCUCAAAUGUAUGUUGACGUAUUCUGAAAGGGAUACUUCUUCGGACAAUAUACAAGGUGCUGCAUGGUUGUCGUCAGCUCGUGCCGUGAGGUGUCGGGUUAAGUCCCAUAACGAGCGCAACCCCUAUCAUUAGUUGCCAUCAGGUCAAGCUGGGGACUCUAAUGAAACUGCCUACGCAAGUAGUGAGGAAGGUGGGGAUGACGUCAAAUCAGCACGGCCCUUACGUCCAGGGCUACACACGUGCUACAAUGGCCGGUACAAAGGGCAGCUACCUGGUGACAGGAUGCUAAUCUCAAAAGCCGGUCUCAGUUCGGAUCGGAGUCUGCAACCCGACUCCGUGAAGCUGGAAUCGCUAGUUAAUCGCGCCUAUCCAGCCCAUGCGACGUGAAUACGUACCGGUCU